AGAGUUUGAUCCUGGCUCAGAUUGAACGCUGGCGGCAUGCCUUACACAUGCAAGUCGAACGGCAGCGCGGGAGCAAUCCUGGCGGCGAGUGGCGAACGGGUGAGUAAUACAUCGGAACGUGCCCAAUCGUGGGGGAUAACGCAGCGAAAGCUGUGCUAAUACCGCAUACGAUCUACGGAUGAAAGCAGGGGAUCGCAAGACCUUGCGCGACUGGAGCGGCCGAUGGCAGAUUAGGUAGUUGGUGGGGUAAAGGCUCACCAAGCCUGCGAUCUGUAGCUGGUCUGAGAGGACGACCAGCCACACUGGGACUGAGACACGGCCCAGACUCCUACGGGAGGCAGCAGUGGGGAAUUUUGGACAAUGGGCGCAAGCCUGAUCCAGCCAUGCCGCGUGCAGGAUGAAGGCCUUCGGGUUGUAAACUGCUUUUGUACGGAACGAAAAGGUCUUCUCUAAUAAAGAGGGCUCAUGACGGUACCGUAAGAAUAAGCACCGGCUAACUACGUGCCAGCAGCCGCGGUAAUACGUAGGGUGCAAGCGUUAAUCGGAAUUACUGGGCGUAAAGCGUGCGCAGGCGGUGAUGUAAGACAGUUGUGAAAUCCCCGGGCUCAACCUGGGAACUGCAUCUGUGACUGCAUCGCUGGAGUGCGGCAGAGGGGGAUGGAAUUCCGCGUGUAGCAGUGAAAUGCGUAGAUAUGCGGAGGAACACCGAUGGCGAAGGCAAUCCCCUGGGCCUGCACUGACGCUCAUGCACGAAAGCGUGGGGAGCAAACAGGAUUAGAUACCCUGGUAGUCCACGCCCUAAACGAUGUCAACUGGUUGUUGGGUCUUCACUGACUCAGUAACGAAGCUAACGCGUGAAGUUGACCGCCUGGGGAGUACGGCCGCAAGGUUGAAAACUCAAAGGAAUUGACGG
rnacentral:rRNA from 1 species